GAUGAACGCUGGCGGCGUGCUUAACACAUGCAAGUCGAACGGAAAGGCCCUGGUUUUGUGGGGUGCUCGAGUGGCGAACGGGUGAGUAACACGUGAGUAACCUGCCCUUGACUUUGGGAUAACUUUAGGAAACUGGGGCUAAUACCGGAUAGGAGCUCCUGCUGCAUGGUGGUGGUUGGAAAGUUUCCGCGGUUGGGGAGGGACUCGCCGUUUAUCAGCUUGUGGGUGGGGUUGGGGCAUACCAAGGCUUUGACGGGUAGGCGGCCGGAGAGGGUGACCGGCCACAUGGGGACUGAGAUACGCCCCAGACUCCUACGGGGGGCAACAGUGGGGAAUAUUACACAAGGGGCGGAAGCCAGAUGCAGCAACGCCGCGUGCGGGAAGACGGCCCUCGGGGUGUAAACCGCUUUCGCCUGUGACGAAGCGUGAGUGACGGUAAUUGGUAAAGAAGCACCGGCUAACUACGUG
rnacentral:rRNA from 1 species